ACCUAAGUGGCUCAGUUGGUUGAGUGCCCGACUCUUAAUUUCGGCUCGGGUCAUGAUGCCAGUUUGUGGGAUCAAGCCCCACAUUGGGCU
rnacentral:tRNA from 1 species